rnacentral:rRNA from 1 species
AGGACGAACGCUGGCGGCGUGCCUAACACAUGCAAGUCGAGCGAGGAGAUUCCUCGGGAUGAUCCUAGCGGCGGACGGGUGAGUAACACGUGGGCAACCUGCCUCAUAGAGAGGAAUAGCCUUCCGAAAGGGAGAUUAAUACCUCAUAACAUUGCAGUUUCGCAUGGAACAGCAAUUAAAGGAGUAAUCCGCUAUGAGAUGGGCCCGCGGCGCAUUAGCUAGUUGGUGAGGUAACGGCUCACCAAGGCGACGAUGCGUAGCCGACCUGAGAGGGUGAUCGGCCACAUUGGGACUGAGACACGGCCCAGACUCCUACGGGAGGCAGCAGUGGGGAAUAUUGCACAAUGGGGGAAACCCUGAUGCAAGCAACGCCGCGUGAGUGAUGACGGCCUUCGGGUUGUAAAGCUCUGUCUUCAGGGACGAUAAUGACGGUACCUGAGGAGGAAGCCACGGCUAACUACGUGCCAGCAGCCGC